rnacentral:tRNA from 1 species
GGCACUGUGGCUCAAGUGGUAGAGUGCUUGCCUUGAACACAAGAAGCUCAGGGCCA